CGGGAGGGGAGCGGACUGGGCGGCGUCCCCUGUCCCACACUGGGGGUCAAGGGGUCGUGGGUUCAAAUCCCGCCGUCCCGA
rnacentral:tRNA from 1 species